rnacentral:rRNA from 1 species
UACGUAGGGAGCAAGCGUUGUCCGGAAUCAUUGGGCGUAAAGGGUGCGUAGGCGGUGGGGCAAGUCAGGUGUGAAAUCCCGGAGCUCAACUCCGGAACUGCACUUGAUACUGCCUUGCUAGAGUACUGGAGAGGAGACUGGAAUUUACGGUGUAGCAGUGAAAUGCGUAGAUAUCGUAAGGAAGACCAGUGGCGAAGGCGAGUCUCUGGACAGUUACUGACGCUGAGGCACGAAGGCCAGGGGAGCAAACGGG